rfam:Harpegnathos saltator strain R22 G/1 HarSal_1.0_2.contig1229, whole genome shotgun sequence.
AGACAUCCGUUCCUCUGACAAAGCUUUUCAUGCUAUGUUAGAUUUAAGGAAGUCUUAGAAUAAAAAUGAACUGCUUCACCCAGAAUUGUUUUCUUAUUUACACUGUUUGGCUUUUGCGGGUUCAUACAUUC